rnacentral:lncRNA from 1 species
GGAGUAUGAAAUGAAGUGAUUCGCUCGCUUUAGGAUACGCUCCUUGUAAAAAUCUACUUUCACGUUCCCAUCCCAAAGGGGUUAAUGCUCUGUUUGGUCACUGUACUAGACCAAAACUUUCAGUUGGCCUACCGAGUCAAAAAAGCUUUCAGUCAAUUAAUUGUACCAUUUAAAACUUUCAAAUCGGCUACUCCGUCAAUCUCUGUUAAAAAUUUAACAGAAGCAGCCCACUCCCUUCCUCCUUUCCUUCCCAUUCGUGUUCCACCUCUGCACCGCCGGUCACCGCUGUUGUGGCUAGAUUUCCUCCCUCCGACCUCGCCAUCAUAUCUACAUCCAUUUAUCUCCUCAUAUCAACAACCCCUGCUUAGCACAAGCACUAACCCAGUCUCCUCUUUCACACCGUAAUCAUUUACCCCUACUCUGACAAUCAGGUGGCUUUGCCACCGUAAGCACCCCCACUGAUUUCUUUUUCUUUCAACCCUAUGUCGCCGGCAGCAAGGCUGUUGCUAAUACAAACACAACCCAACGUUGCAUCUUCCGUCCUCUUAUUUACUCAACUCCGGCGUCACCUGUACUAAACCCCGACCACCAACAAUGUCUCACCUUUCUUGCCCCGUAUAUUCUCUUAUUUACCGUCUUGCGAAGUCACUCCGGCGAGUCAUACCUACAUCCAUACCUCACUCCUCUCGCUUCCCUCUCCAACCACACGUUUUCCACCUUAGACAAACCCACUACCACCACUUUCAUCAAUUCCGGCCGCCACGAACUCAACCACAACACUAUAGUCCGAUAAUACUCCACCUACUGUAACACAAUCCACACCUUUCGCCUCCUUCCCGUCAUUUCUCAGUCUAAAAAUCUGAAAAUCCCCAAAUUAACCUUAAGAAUCCUAAUUUCACAUGCUAAUCUGAGCAAAAUAUGUAAUUUCUGUUAAAAGUAACGUUCGUCUGUUAAAGUCAAAGGCGUGGUUAACGGUGCUGAAAGGUUUUCUGAACUUAAUUACGUUAUUGUAAGUUUUUAGAUGCUUUGUUAUUUAAAUGAAAACUUUUUUGACUCGGUAGGCCAACUGAAAGUUAUGAUUCAGUACAGUGACCAAACAGAGCAUUAACCC